rnacentral:rRNA from 1 species
UACGGAGGGUGCGAGCGUUGUCCGGAAUCAUUGGGCGUAAAGGGCGCGUAGGUGGCCACUUCAAGCGUGCGGUGAAAGUCGGGGGCUCAACCCCUGAUCGGCCGUGCGAACUGGGGGGCUGGAGCACUGUAGAGGCAGGCGGAAUUCCGGGUGUAGCGGUGGAAUGCGUAGAGAUCCGGAAGAACACCGGUGGCGAAGGCGGCUCGCUGGGCAGUGGCUGACGCUGAGGCGCGACAGCGUGGGGAGCAAACAGG